GAGCCCACCCCUGUCUUCCUGCCUGCAGAAGUGGCUCUGUGAGCCAUUUGAGGAGAAAAUGGGGGACUUUGGGCUUCAGCCCGAGGAGAACAGGGUGGAGAUGGAGGAGCCCCUGGGCGUCCGCAGGUUAACUGAAAACAUGAGAAAACACAAGCACGGGACCAAGUCUGUCACUAACCUGUAAAAAACUCUCACCAAGCCGACUGGGCACUUUGUCUGAGCGCCUGCCUUUGCCACCACUGUGUGCGGGAAUGCCUGGGGCACGACUGGGCCAUCCCAGUGUUCUUAUGUCUAUACAUUCCGAGGUUACCCCUCAGCAAAACGCCAGAGGCUGGCAGACACAGCGGAGCAUCCUGCAGUAGGGAUCCGAAGCCGUGGAAUCUCCAAAGGACCACUUGACCGCGUCCCAGAAUCUCCAGCUCAGGCCGGACAUUGCCCAGAAAGCCCACAUCGUCUUUGGCAAGACCUCCCGGAUUGUGGUUUUGAUUUGCAUUUCUCUGAUGGCCAGUGAUGAUGAACAUUUUUUCAUGUGUCUGUUGGCUGCAUAAAUGUCUUCUUCCUCUGGGUGCCUUCCUAUCCUUCUGCUUCUUCCUUGGCCGCUUUAGGGGGCGCGCCUCGCCGUGGGUCUCCCUGCGGGUGGUGCAGUGGUGCUCCUGGAUGUCACCUCCAGGCGCUUUUGAGACUGCGGCAGGCACCGGGCACCAGGCACCUGCGGAUUGGCCUCCCCAGACCGGGCUCAGGGACCUCCAGCGCUCCGCGGUGCGGGCUGCAGGCGACCUCAACGUGGAGCUGCUGCCAGCGCCACAGGCCCCAGGGGAGGCCCAGGAUGCUGCUUCCCCGCCCCAAGAAGGGCAGUUUGGAGGAAAGUCUUUGGCCUGAUGGAAGGCGGCGCCCAUCGGGGGCGGGGCUGAGAACUAGGCUGGCGCCGCUGCCUGGUAAGCGGGGACCAAGAGGCCCACGGCCUCCAUCAGGAAGCAGGUGCUUCUCCAAAUCCCGGAUUUCCAGGAGGAACAACGGCGUCAAGCUGGCUGACACCAGGAACACCCAGAAGUCCCCGCUCCUGUCUGUCCUUCCGCACUCAGGAGCGGGGAUGGCCACAGGGACACCAUCCGCCCACAAACCGCUGGCGUUUGUUGCCAUGGUGCGCGGAGAUGCGGUCCCCGAGGAGGCCACUUUCGGCCAGGACGCCGGGAUCGUAUCAGCGGCAGCAUCCCGCGCUGACACUCAGUAUU
rnacentral:lncRNA from 1 species